rnacentral:rRNA from 1 species
UGCGACUGAACCGGGAGGAGCCCAGCGCAUAACCUGACGUCGUGACCCGGCGUCAGGGGUGUUGCGUUUCGGAGGGUCCGGCACGCAGUCUCUCACCGCCUAAGUUAUGCUUGAAAGCGGCCACUACCCAUGGAGGGUGACAGGCCCGUGUGGCGGAGCCCGCGAGGGUACACGAGAGAUUGUCGGAAAGGCCUCUCCGUAGAGUCGGGUUGCUUGAAAUGCAGCCCUAAGCAGGUGGUAAACUCCAUCUAAGGCUAAAUAUGACCACGAGACCGAUAGACGAACAAGUACCGUGGAGGAAGUUAGAAAAGUAACUUAGAAGAGAGAGUUACAAGAGUACGUAGAACGUAGUAGACGAC